GCUCAGGACGAACGCUGGSGGCGUGCUUAACACAUGCAAGUCGAGCGGUAAGGCCCUUCGGGGUACACGAGCGGCGAACGGGUGAGUAACACGUGGGUGAUCUGCCCUGCACUCUGGGAUAAGCCUGGGAAACUGGGUCUAAUACCGGAUAUGACCUCUGGUUGCAUGACCGGGGGUGGAAAGAUUUAUCGGUGCAGGAUGGGCCCGCGGCCUAUCAGCUUGUUGGUGGGGUAAUGGCCUACCAAGGCGACGACGGGUAGCCGGCCUGAGAGGGCGACCGGCCACACUGGGACUGAGACACGGCCCAGACUCCUACGGGAGGCAGCAGUGGGGAAUAUUGCACAAUGGGCGGAAGCCUGAUGCAGCGACGCCGCGUGAGGGAUGACGGCCUUCGGGUUGUAAACCUCUUUCGACAGGGACGAAGCGCAAGUGACGGUACCUGUAGAAGAAGCACCGGCCAACUACGUGCCAGCAGCCGCGGUAAUACGUAGGGUGCGAGCGUUGUCCGGAAUUACUGGGCGUAAAGAGCUUGUAGGCGGCUUGUCGCGUCGAUCGUGAAAACUUGGGGCUCAACCCCAAGCUUGCGGUCGAUACGGGCAGGCUUGAGUACUGCAGGGGAGACUGGAAUUCCUGGUGUAGCGGUGAAAUGCGCAGAUAUCAGGAGGAACACCGGUGGCGAAGGCGGGUCUCUGGGCAGUAACUGACGCUGAGAAGCGAAAGCGUGGGUAGCGAACAGGAUUAGAUACCCUGGUAGUCCACGCCGUAAACGGUGGGCGCUAGGUGUGGGUUUCCUUCCACGGGAUCCGUGCCGUAGCUAACGCAUUAAGCGCCCCGCCUGGGGAGUACGGCCGCAAGGCUAAAACUCAAAGGAAUUGACGGGGGCCCGCACAAGCGGCGGAGCAUGUGGAUUAAUUCGAUGCAACGCGAAGAACCUUACCUGGGUUUGACAUACACCGGAAACCUGCAGAGAUGUAGGCCCCCUUGUGGUCGGUGUACAGGUGGUGCAUGGCUGUCGUCAGCUCGUGUCGUGAGAUGUUGGGUUAAGUCCCGCAACGAGCGCAACCCUUGUCCUGUGUUGCCAGCAAGUGAUGUUGGGGACUCGCAGGAGACUGCCGGGGUCAACUCGGAGGAAGGUGGGGACGACGUCAAGUCAUCAUGCCCCUUAUGUCCAGGGCUUCACACAUGCUACAAUGGCCGGUACAGAGGGCUGCGAUACCGUGAGGUGGAGCGAAUCCCUUAAAGCCGGUCUCAGUUCGGAUCGGGGUCUGCAACUCGACCCCGUGAAGUUGGAGUCGCUAGUAAUCGCAGAUCAGCAACGCUGCGGUGAAUACGUUCCCGGGCCUUGUACACACCGC
rnacentral:rRNA from 1 species